rnacentral:ncRNA from 1 species
CUAAACCUGGAUGAUCUAUCCAUGACCAAGUUGAAGCUUAGGUGAAACUAAGUAGAGGUCCAAACCGAUUGAUGUUGAAGAAUCAACGGAUAAGUUGAGGUUAGAGAUGAAAUGCCACUCGAACCCAGAGUUAGCUG